rnacentral:rRNA from 1 species
AGAGUUUGAUCCUGGCUCAGGACGAACGCUGGCGGCGUGCCUAAUACAUGCAAGUCGAACGAACUCUGGUAUUGAUUGGUGCUUGCAUCAUGAUUUACAUUUGAGUGAGUGGCGAACUGGUGAGUAACACGUGGGAAACCUGCCCAGAAGCGGGGGAUAACACCUGGAAACAGAUGCUAAUACCGCAUAACAACUUGGACCGCAUGGUCCGAGUUUGAAAGAUGGCUUCGGCUAUCACUUUUGGAUGGUCCCGCGGCGUAUUAGCUAGAUGGUGAGGUAACGGCUCACCAUGGCAAUGAUACGUAGCCGACCUGAGAGGGUAAUCGGCCACAUUGGGACUGAGACACGGCCCAAACUCCUACGGGAGGCAGCAGUAGGGAAUCUUCCACAAUGGACGAAAGUCUGAUGGAGCAACGCCGCGUGAGUGAAGAAGGGUUUCGGCUCGUAAAACUCUGUUGUUAAAGAAGAACAUAUCUGAGAGUAACUGUUCAGGUAUUGACGGUAUUUAACCAGAAAGCCACGGCUAACUACGUGCCAGCAGCCGCGGUAAUACGUAGGUGGCAAGCGUUGUCCGGAUUUAUUGGGCGUAAAGCGAGCGCAGGCGGUUUUUUAAGUCUGAUGUGAAAGCCUCCGGCUCAACCGAAGAAGUGCAUCGGAAACUGGGAAACUUGAGUGCAGAAGAGGACAGUGGAACUCCAUGUGUAGCGGUGAAAUGCGUAGAUAUAUGGAAGAACACCAGUGGCGAAGGCGGCUGUCUGGUCUGUAACUGACGCUGAGGCUCGAAAGUAUGGGUAGCAAACAGGAUUAGAUACCCUGGUAGUCCAUACCGUAAACGAUGAAUGCUAAGUGUUGGAGGGUUUCCGCCCUUCAGUGCU